GCAAAUGGAAGCCCGCUGGUUUGGGUAGUUAGCUGUUAACUAAUUUUUGUGGGAUCAAGGCCCGCCUAUUUGGU
rnacentral:tRNA from 1 species